rnacentral:misc_RNA from 1 species
AUGAAAUUCAAGGACGCUCUCUUUAGAGGUCCGACCAAAUUCAUUCCUUCACACUGUGCACAAACUACUUUUCUACACCAUUUUUAACACCUAAGUCUAAGAAUGUAAAUAGUCUCUUAAUUGAGCAUAAACAAAACA